AACACUUGAGUGAGCUGAUUUCACAACAUGCCUUUGAAAUAAAUAUGGUUUUAGCGAGUGUUUAGCAGUUAAGAACUGUGGCCUGCUGUCUUUUGGGAGGGAAUUACUUUCCAUUCUCUGUAAAUCCCACUGGGGAAAAAGCAACAACACCUCUGAAAUAAGAGGCAGUCACUCCAGGUUUCAUUCUUCCUCAGACAAGCCAGCAAUGACUUUGGAGAAGAAAAUUUGGGGCACAUACAAGUUGUAAAUGGUUUAUAAAAGGGCAAGUUACACUCUGCAGUCUGACGCUAUUGUUUUGGAAGAUCAGGAUCAUCGGGCAAAGCUCACGGAGACAAAGAAACUUCCACCAGACCUCCAUCCUUUAGUAAACCAGUGAGAUUGAGUUUCCCUGACUUUGCUCCACCCUGUUGAUAGGAGAGACAGAAGCUGAUUUUUAGUUACAGCUACAAGACUUUUUAUGGAUCGUGUUCUGUAUUCUCAUGAGCAAAGAAGUCAGAUAUCAAAUCAUGCACUUCAUUGAGACAAGUGAGAAUGCUAAUGGAUAACUUCGUCUGGGUAUUACAGAUCUCCUUGGCUGCUUCUGAGGAUAGACAGUGGCUUAUGUUGUUGGUUGCAGCACUGUACCCUACUGGAGAACAACUUGUCUGUACACAGACAUCUAAACCUUUGGGUUCAGAAGAGAGAAAAUGCAAGGCAUGACUCAGUGAGGAUUCUUCGCCAUGCCUCAUUACAAGAGCAGAGGGCAGAGUGAUCAGAGCCUCAGGGUGUAACGUGCGCCUGCCGUCUGCUGCCGCCGCUAUCGUCUUUGACUACACAGAGCUCACUGCCACUGCAGACGGUGACUGUGGUUAACUCUUCACGGUUACACACACAAAUAGCCUAAAGGAGCCAGAUCUGCACCUGCUCUUCUCUUUACCCUAGGCAAACACUUGCAGGAGGACAGGGGGUUAGAGAGUUCAGGAGAUACGGAUGAAUAGAAAGAGUAUCAAAGAGGAGGGGUGCUUGCUCUUCAUUUAGUGCACCUGGUUAAAUGCACAAUGCAAUGAUAUGACUGACUGACUGACUAGUGAUUGAGUUCUAGUCUUUCUGCAGCUGUGGAAUGUAUGUGAAAAAGAACAAACGAAAAAACAACAAUGGCUUUUAAUAAGCUUUUUAAUAAUCAUAGAAUAUUAUAAGAUAUACAUUUUGUUGUAUUUUUUGUUAUUUUUUGUUUUGGAACACACAUCAUUUGUUUUGUUUACAAUGGGGUCCAAAAUUCUGACACCACACUGAAAAUCUCUGGGAGGAAAUCAGAGUGACAUGAGGGCGAGUAAAAGAUGACUUUGAUGAUUACGGGUGAACGAGUCCUUUUGAUUUAGUAAUAUAAUACUUAAGAGACAAUCCAGUAUAAUAGUCCAUAACACUGUUUAUCACCUGUUAAUGGAAAUAUUUAAUAAAAUGUGAUGAAAAUCAUCUCUCUGGCA
ensembl:lncRNA